ACUUUAAUAGCUCAUAAUAAUAGAGUAUUAUAUUGAAGAUAUAAAGGAAAGUUUAACUUUUAAAGUA
rnacentral:tRNA from 2 species